GGGGGUGCUAUACAUGCAAGUCGAGCGGACUUGUUGGAGUGCUUGCACUCCUGAUGGUUAUCGGCGGACAGGUGAGUAACACGUAGGCGACCUGCCUGUGAAACAGUGGUAACUACAGGAAACAGUGGCUAAUACCGGAUAGGCUUUCUUCUCUCCUGAGAGGAAAAAGAAAAACAGAGAAAUCUGUGUCUUUUACAUGGGGCUGCGGCGCAUUAUCUAUUUGGGGAGGUGACGGCUCACCCCGGCGACAAUACGUAUCCCACAUGUGAGGGGGAUCGGCCACACUGGGACUGAGACACGGCCCCCACACCCCCAGGAGGGGCCACUAUGGAAUCUUCUCGCAAUGUACAAAAGUCUGACAGAGAACCGCCCCGCGAGUGAUAAAAGCCUUCGCGUCGUCAAAGCUCUGUUGUCCAGGAAAAAAACCUGAGAGAGAAACUGCUCUCGCAAAGACAGUACUUGAGAAAAAAACCCCCGCUAACUACAUGCCACCACCCGCGCUAAUACAUAGGGGGCAAGCGUUGUCCGGAAUUAUUGGGCGUAAAGCGCGCGCACGCGCGGUAAUGUAAGUUGGGUGUGUAUAGGCGAGAGCUCAACCCUCGUCUCGCACACAAAACUGCAUCACUUGAGUGCAGCAGAGGAAGAGUGGAAAUCCACAUGUAUCGCGGUGAAAUGCGUAGAGAUAUGGAGAAACACCACUGGCGAGAGGCGACAUUCUGGGCUGUAACUGACACUCAGACGCGAAAGCGUGUGGAGAGCAAACAGGAUAAGAUACACUGUGUAGACCCACGCCGUAAACAAUAAAAGCGCUAGGUGUGAGGGGUUUCGAUACACUUGGUGCCGAAAUUAACACAUAAAGCAUUUUCCGCCUGGGGAGAACAGGUCGCAAGACAGUGAAACUCUAAAGAGAAUUGACGGGGACACGCGCACAAGCAGUAGAGUAUGUGGGUUUAAUUUCGAAGCAACGCGCAAAAACCUUACCACGUCUUUGACAUCUGAAUGACAGGGGUACAGAGAUGUGCCUUUCCUCUCGGGACAUUCAAAACAGGUGGUGGCAUAUGUGUUCUUCGUCAGCUCGUGUCGUGAGAAUAUUGUGGUUAUAAUCCCGCNNAACGAGCGCAACCCCNUAAUUUUAGAUGCCAGCAUUCCGAGUUGGGCACUCUAAAGUGACUGCCGGUGACAAACCGGAGGAAGGUGGGGAUGACGUCAAAUCAUCAUGCCCCUUAUGACCUGGGCUACACACGUACUACAAUGGUCGGUACAACGGGAAGCGAAGCCGCGAGGUGGAGCCAAUCCUAAAAAGCCGAUCUCAGUUCGGAUUGUAGGCUGCAACUCGCCUACAUGAAGUCGGAAUUGCUAGUAAUCGCGGAUCAGCAUGCCGCGGUGAAUACGUUCCCGGGUCUUGUACACACCGCCCGUCACACCACGAGAGUUUACAACACCCGAAGUCGGUGAGGUAACCGCAAGGAGCCAGCCGCCGAAGGUGGGUANNNNNG
rnacentral:rRNA from 1 species